CUCUACUAUCCACCUGGACAUGUUCUUUAUUGCACCGCAGGGGCAGGGGAUGGGAGUGGCCUCUCCAUGUUAUCACUUCCCUUGGUCAGCGUGUCCACCCGGCAAGUAGGAGACUCUGGUCAGGCUCCAUUGGUCAGUACAAUUUGUUCCACUUGUGCACCCGCAACACGAAUGAAAUAGGGAGCAGACUAGCAAUGAAAUUAGGGCUCCAGGACUGGUGGAACAAGAUGCACUUCUCGGGCACUUUCUCACACAGUGAAAUUUUGUCAAUACGAGAUAUCAAGAAAUUGGUUUUGCAAGCAUUGCAAGACAAGGAGCGAGCACUGCAAUACAAAAGUACUGAUUCGAACUCACGGGGCAGAAGCUUGCAGAGAUGGCGUGGAGUUUCUCCCAAUUUGCACUGGUAUACCUUCCAUGCCAAUUCAACUGAAACACAUUUUGUUGGUAAAUAUGUUCGAUAAUAUACAAGACCUUAAACAAGUUUCUAUUUUCAUACUUGCUGGCUUUACUAGCAGAACCAGCACAUGCCUAUAUUCAGAGUUGCACCUAAAAGCUGUUCUAUUUGAAUUUCGUAAUGUUCAGUUGAACUUUGUUUCCUGAUUGUUUGACUACUAUCCAAUGAAAUUGAAACGGGAUCU